CCACCGGCGCCUUCCCCAAACGUCACCGCAUUCCAACAUCGGAUAUAUCCUACCUACGUCUGGUUGAACUAUCUCUACUCACAAUCACACAGGUCACAGGUCAGAUGUUAAGCUGUAACGUCCCUGAGGGACCGCUGCUCUCCUGUCCAGAGCUCCAUACCAGAUUACGAGAUCCACUUCUUCACGUACCUGCAAUAGAGCAGAACCGACGGGGUUAGCAUGCAAGAAAACUAGUUGUGUUGGCCAUCACCGACACCUCGACAGUCAUCGUGGCGGCACAGCGGCCACAGCCCAGCAACCCGAAAACCCCAACAUUCGCUAGCGCAUUAAUCAGUGCUUCCCAGCGCGCGCUUUCGCGGCCCCAUGCGCAACUCACUCGGUCAGGAACUGACGGGGGCUGAUGGCCUCCACCACGAUAGGCAUGAACGAGUGGUUCGCGCCGCAGAGCUCAGAGCACUGGCCGUAGAAGACGCCCUCACGGUUGAUGGACAUCCAGACCUGGUUCAGGCGACCCGGCACCGCGUCCAUCUUCACGCCCAGAGCAGGCACAGCCCAGCUGUGCAGCACAUCCGAGGCGGUCACCAGCAGACGGAUGAGGGUGUUGGUG
rnacentral:lncRNA from 1 species